rnacentral:rRNA from 1 species
GAGCGAACGCUGGCGGCAGGCCUAACACAUGCAAGUCGAACGGAUCCUUCGGGAUUAGUGGCGGACGGGUGAGUAACACGUGGGAACGUGCCCUUUGGUUCGGAACAACUCAGGGAAACUUGAGCUAAUACCGGAUGUGCCCUUCGGGGGAAAGAUUUAUCGCCAUUGGAGCGGCCCGCGUCUGAUUAGCUAGUUGGUGAGGUAACGGCCCACCAAGGCGACGAUCAGUAGCUGGUCUGAGAGGAUGAUCAGCCACACUGGGACUGAGACACGGCCCAGACUCCUACGGGAGGCAGCAGUGGGGAAUCUUGCGCAAUGGGCGAAAGCCUGACGCAGCCAUGCCGCGUGAAUGAUGAAGGUCUUAGGAUUGUAAAAUUCUUUCAGCGGGGACGAUAAUGACGGUACCCGCAGAAGAAGCGCCGGCUAACUUCGUG